UACGGAGGGUGCAAGCGUUGUUCGGAAUGACUGGGCGUAAAGCGCACGUAGGUUGGUUUGUAUGUCAGAUGUGAAAUCCCUGGGCUCAACCUGGGGCGGCCAUUUGAAACUGCAAAUCUUGAAUGCUUCAGGGGUUGGUGGAAUUCUUGGUGUAGGAGUGAAAUCCGUAGAUAUCAAGAGGAACAUCGGAGGCGAAGGCGGCCAACUGGGGAUGCAUUGACACUGAGGUGCGAAAGCGUGGGGAGCAAACAGG
rnacentral:rRNA from 1 species